UGGGGAAUCUUGCACAAUGGGGGCAACCCUGAUGCAGCGACGCCGCGUGAGCGAUGAAGCCCUUCGGGGCGUAAAGCUCUUUCGACCGGAACGAUAAUGACGGUACCGGGAGAAGAAGCUGCGGCUAACUACGUGCCAGCAGCCGCGGUAAUACGUAGGCAGCAAGCGUUGUUCGGAGUUACUGGGCGUAAAGAGUGCGUAGGCGGUUUUCUAAGUUCGGUGUGAAAUCUCCCGGCUUAACUGGGAGGGUGCGCCGAAGACUGGGAGGCUGGAGUGUUGGAAAGGCAGGCGGAAUUCCUGGGGUAGCGGUGAAAUGCGUAGAUAUCAGGAGGAACACCGGCGGUGUAGACGGCUUGCUAGACCAUAACUGACGCUGAGGCACGAAAGCGUGGGUAGCAAACA
rnacentral:rRNA from 1 species